GAAAGCCGUAUGAAGGAGAACUUCACGUACGGAUUGAUGAGAAGGUUGAGGAGGAGAUGAAAUCAAAUCCUCCGCCUUACUCUAGAU
rfam:Clostridium sp. Maddingley MBC34-26 contig_95_1, whole genome shotgun sequence.